UAUCAACUAUUUUAGGUUUACACCUUCAUAUCCAUUGCACUAUAUUCUAAAAGGAUGAUUGGGGUAAAAGGAUACUAAAUUCCUCAAUUUCUCAGGCUCCUAGGUCGAAAGUAGCAAUACUUUCACGAUUACUCGUUUAACAAAGACUACCCUCAAAGGGGCUUCCACUUAGUGAGGGAUUCUCAAGUCAACUUGUUCGG
rnacentral:lncRNA from 1 species